rnacentral:rRNA from 1 species
GGAGAAAAGCAGGGGAUCGCAAGACCUUGCGCUCAUUGAGCGGCCGAUGCCUGAUUAGCUAGUUGGUGAGGUAAAGGCUUACCAAGGCGACGAUCAGUAGCUGGUCUGAGAGGACGACCAGCCACACUGGGACUGAGACACGGCCCAGACUCCUACGGGAGGCAGCAGUGGGGAAUUUUGGACAAUGGGGGAAACCCUGAUCCAGCCAUGCCGCGUGAGUGAAGAAGGCCUUCGGGUUGUAAAGCUCUUUCAGCCGGAACGAAACGGUCACGGCUAAUACCUGUGACUACUGACGGUACCGGAAGAAGAAGCACCGGCUAACUACGUGCCAGCAGCCGCGGUGAUACGUAGGGUGCGAGCGUUAAUCGGAAUUACUGGGCGUAAAGCGUGCGCAGGCGGUUUUGUAAGUCAGAAGGGAAAUCCCCGGGCUUAACCUGGGAACUGCGUCCUAAAUAGAAGGCUAGAAGGGC